ACUCCACGCAACUGUUGCUUUCACAUGAUCUUCAGGAAUGUAACUGGGAUAAUUGUCCAAAUUGAAUCCCAUACCCUGUCAUGGUACUGAUUAUUAAGGUGACUAUAUGAAAGGAUCACUCCAAAAUAACAGGAAUCUUGAGGAACCCAUUAAUGUAAAGCUGCGGCCAGAGUUCCAUGAGGAGGCAGAAUGUUCUAGAUGAUCCCUGUCUCUUCUCCAUUGAGGAAGUCGUUUCUUGCCUCUCUGUAAGCUCAGUUAAUCAUACCAGAAUAGGAGUCCUGUCUUAACUGAGCAAUAUACACUAUGGAGAGAUCCUUCAAAACCCGUCGGGACGAAUAACAGAUGAAUUCAUAAAACUGUUCAUCUCUGUUAUCCUGAAUGGUCACUCAGACAACAUUUUACUCAACUAUAAAGGGGAACACUUAAAGUGCAUAUGAGAAGAGAAGAGAAUGACCACAGGAGAAAAUCAUCUCAGCUUUCUCCACCCAGGGCAAAGGCAACAACAACAAACGUCCUAUACUCAAGCCGACUGACCUCAUCUCGUUCCACCCCACCUCAUCCAAUCAGAAAUCUCACACGCUCCAGGCCACGAUUUCCUAACCAGAAUCUGUAAGAGAGAUUCCAAGAACUUGGGAGAAGCAUAUUGUGUGAUGUUCUAUAUUUAUGAGACCCAUAGCAAACUGUGAAGAGAUAACAGAAUGCUUUUUGCGUGAGCUGAAACAGUAGAUGAAAUCUUUCAUUAAAAUUACUCAUACUUUGGGUCCUAUUCUUAUUUAUAAAUAAAUAUUAUUGCAAACA
rnacentral:lncRNA from 1 species